CUUUGUAACCAGUUUUUAUCUUCCAUUCAAACUACCAAAAAUCACUUGAAAUAGCCUUUAAUUGCUUAGGCAAGAGUCGAUCACUCUUCGGCAACUUAAGGAUUGGUUCAUUGGAUAAUACUUGACGUGUGUUGCUUAAGCUUGUGAAGUGUGUCUACAAGAGGUCAGGAAAAUGUUCAGGAUCGACUGCCGGAGGCGUGACAGUGUGGUGUAGCCCGUGUUUACUAGAUGUUUGUUUCCUUACCUGUAGUUAGGAUUGUUAAACGUUUUAAAUUGUUGAACUUUAUGUAUGACUCAGUCACCUUUGACUUGAGCUAUUGUUUUGUUUCCGCUGUGAUAUUGACCACUGAGGUCUACCAUUCUGAUUAAGUGAGUUGUUUUGUUGGAUCUGUUUGAUGUGGACCGUUGAGG